ACCUGGAUAGCUCAGUUGGUUAGAGCGUGGUGCCCAUAACGCCCAGGUUGCAGGUUCGAUCCCCGUAUGGGACA